CCUACGGGAGGCUGCAGUGGGGAAUAUUGGACAAUGGGCGAAAGCCUGAUCCAGCCAUGCCGCGUGUGUGAAGAAGGCCUUCGGGUUGUAAAGCACUUUCAGUGGGGAAGAAAGCCUUGGGGCUAAUACCCUCGAGGAAGGACAUCACCCACAGAAGAAGCACCGGCUAACUCCGUGCCAGCAGCCGCGGUGAUACGGAGGGUGCGAGCGUUAAUCGGAAUUACUGGGCGUAAAGCGCGCGUAGGCGGUCUGAUAAGCCGGUUGUGAAAGCCCCGGGCUCAACCUGGGAACGGCAUCCGGAACUGUCAGGCUAGAGUGCAGGAGAGGAAGGUAGAAUUCCCGGUGUAGCGGUGAAAUGCGUAGAGAUCGGGAGGAAUACCAGUGGCGAAGGCGGCCUUCUGGACUGACACUGACGCUGAGGUGCGAAAGCGUGGGUAGCAAACAGGAUUAGAUACCCUAGUAGUC
rnacentral:rRNA from 1 species